UAAAUGCAGCUUCUUCUUUUGUUUUUAGUACUUUAGCGAGAGCAAAGUGCAGCUGCUCCAAUUAGCUGUGCAGCAGGUCUGGAAGUGAACAUGGGGGAAACUUUACUCUGCAGACUGGGCUUCUUUUUGUUGUGGUCCCUCUGCUGUGGAAAUCCUGAAGUGUCUGGGCCGACUGUGAACCAGCAUCCCAGCUGGCCUCUUGUAUUCAGAGGAGAGACGGUCACUCUGAGAUGUGAGAUGCAGGAUGAUGAAGGAACUCAGUGGACGUAUGAAUGGAGUCCAAGCAACAGAAAAUCUCCAACAUCCAAUGAAUACAAGAUCAGCAGAGUCUCUGAGUCUGACAGUAGGAGCUACAGGUGUUUGGCUAGUAAAGGCGAUCAGAGAUCAGGCUGGAGCUCUGAAUUUAAACUGACAGUGAACUGUAAGUCUGACAGAAACAUCCUCAUUCACACAAUCCUAGAACACCAGACAACAUUUUUGGAUGCAAAACUUCUCACAUCUGCUUUAGUUCUCAUGUUAAAUGGUAAAUCAGAAAUAAUUUGUAACAGUUUUA